AUGAUUAUAAAUCUUCAAGCAAAAAAAUAUGGAGAUUUGCUUUUGGGUUGUCGAUUCGAUUUCAAGAGAAGAAGAUGGAGAUAUCGGUGUGCAAUUUCAGACUUUAGGGAAACGGUACCAGGGGGCAAGACUUCCAAUAAAGAUCCUUUGGAUAUUUUUAUUGACGAGCUCGUGCAAAGGGAGAUUAUGAAUCACAUAUCCUUGGAGCAUCCAAAUAUCAUUUGA